CUACAGCUCGGGUGGAUUUUGCUUUGUCCACCGGCCCACCAUGGGAGUGGGCACCGGGUGGACAAAAUUUCUACCUUGUCCACUCUGCCCACCCAUAGGAGUGGGCAUGCAACUUCUUUUGUUUAAUGUAAAGACUUGCAAGUACAAUCACUUGAAAAAAGCAGAUAAGCAUUUGUAAUCAAUAUUUUUACAAAAAAAGAGAUUAUAGCUAGAGUGGGCACGGGUGGGCUGCCCAUGGUGGGCAGGUGGAAAAAGCAAAAUCCACUUGGGCUGUUUAUCAUGCAUAACUAAAUUUCAAAAUGUCCGGUCCCUUUUAUGUUAUCAAAUUGUCAAAAAACAAUUGUUUUUGAAACUAUAUGUAUGCAAUAGGUACAUGCUGCAUGCAACAUUGUCAUGAUUGUAUCAUAAAAUUUAGAAAAAAGAGUUUAC
rnacentral:lncRNA from 1 species